AUUGAACGCUGGCGGAAUGCUUUACACAUGCAAGUCGAACGGUAGAGGGGGCAACCCCUUGAGAGUGGCGAACGGGUGAGUAAUAUAUCGGAACGUGCCCAGUCGUGGGGGAUAACGUAGUGAAAAUUACGCUAAUACCGCAUACGAUCUAAGGAUGAAAGCGGGGGAUCGCAAGACCUCGCGCGACUGGAGCGGCCGAUAUCAGAUUAGGUAGUUGGUAGGGUAAAGGCCUACCAAGCCAACGAUCUGUAGCUGGUCUGAGAGGACGACCAGCCACACUGGAACUGAGACACGGUCCAGACUCCUACGGGAGGCAGCAGUGGGGAAUUUUGGACAAUGGGCGAAAGCCUGAUCCAGCCAUUCCGCGUGCAGGAUGAAGGCCCUCGGGUUGUAAACUGCUUUUGUACAGAACGAAAAGGUCUCUAUUAAUACUAGGGGCUCAUGACGGUACUGUAAGAAUAAGCACCGGCUAACUACGUGCCAGCAGCCGCGGUAAUACGUAGGGUGCAAGCGUUAAUCGGAAUUACUGGGCGUAAAGCGUGCGCAGGCGGUUAUAUAAGUCAGAUGUGAAAUCCCCGGGCUCAACCUGGGAACUGCAUUUGAGACUGUAUAGCUAGAGUACGGUAGAGGGGGAUGGAAUUCCGCGUGUAGCAGUGAAAUGCGUAGAUAUGCGGAGGAACACCGAUGGCGAAGGCAAUCCCCUGGACCUGUACUGACG
rnacentral:rRNA from 1 species